GAUGAACGCUGACAGAAUGCUUAACACAUGCAAGUCUACUUGAACUUCGGUUUGGGUGGCGGACGGGUGAGUCACGCGUAAAGAACUUGCCUCACAGUUAGGGACAACAUUUGGAAACGAAUGCUAAUACCUGAUAUUAUGAUUUUAGGGCAUCCUAAGAUUAUGAAAGCUAUAUGCACUGUGAGAGAGCUUUGCGUCCCAUUAGCUAGUUGGAGAGGUAACGGCUCACCAAGGCGAUGAUGGGUAGCCGGCCUGAGAGGGUGAACGGCCACAAGGGGACUGAGACACGGCCCUUACUCCUACGGGAGGCAGCAGUGGGGAAUAUUGGACAAUGGACCAAAAGUCUGAUCCAGCAAUUCUGUGUGCACGAUGACGUUUUUCGGAAUGUAAAGUGCUUUCAGUUGGGAAGAAAAAAAUGACGGUACCAACAGAAGAAGUGACGGCUAAAUACGUG
rnacentral:rRNA from 1 species